GCGGCUGUGGUGAAAUUGGCAAACACGCGGCGUUCAGGUCGCCGUGGGCGCAAGCCCUUGGAGGUUCGAGUCCUCUCAGCCGCA
rnacentral:tRNA from 1 species